rnacentral:rRNA from 1 species
UACGUAGGGUGCGAGCGUUUGUCCGGAAUCACUGGGCGUAAAGGGCGCGUAGGUGGCGACCCAAGUCUGUGGUGAAAGCUCGCCGCUCAACGGCGCGUCGGCCACGGAUACUGGGUUGCUCGAGCACUGUAGAGGCAGGCGGAAUUCCGGGUGUAGCGGUGAAAUGCGCAGAUAUCAGGAGGAACACCGGUGGCGAAGGCGGUUCUCUGGGACGGUACUGACGCUGAGACGCGAAAGCGUGGGGAGCGAACAGG